AUUAUUGCUAACCCUAAGAAUCAAGUUAAAAUCAAAAAUCCGUCAACCAGAAUACAUUAGCAAACAUGUUCCGUAUACAAAACUUCGUUUGGUUUAAGGAUUUUCAGCACUUGCUGUCAUCCAAACAAAAAAUUUCCGAGCCACAUUAAAAUUGGAACCUUUUUAAAGCAUUCAAAAUGUUUUCGCCAACUGCUUAUUUUGACUAACAGUAAUUCUCAUAUACAAUCUCGUUUACAUAGGAUUGCUUAAACGACCAACCAACUGUGGGUACUUUUCAGUCAAGGCAAUUUGCGUACGAGUAGCCUCAGCAUAUGAAAACGCAUUCACCAUUUCACUUUCAGUACGAGCCAGUUGUGCAGAUUUCUCGAAAUAUUCAAGGGCUUCACGAGCUUUACCUUGUUGCAAUAGGAAUUGAGCCAUACUGGCAAUUGCAAUAUCACAUUCGGGAUCAGCCGAUAGAGCCUGUCGACAAAGAUUUUCAGCUUGAGAUAUAUCUUUCUUCCAUUG